rnacentral:rRNA from 1 species
CUGGAAUUCCUGGUGUAGCGGUGAAAUGCGCAGAUAUCAGGAGGAACACCGAUGGCGAAGGCAGGUCUCUGGGCAUUAACUGACGCUGAGGAGCGAAAGCAUGGGGAGCGAACAGGAUUAGAUACCCUGGUAGUCCAUGCCGUAAACGUUGGGCACUAGGUGUGGGGGACAUUCCACGUUUUCCGCGCCGUAGCUAACGCAUUAAGUGCCCCGCCUGGGGAGUACGGCCGCAAGGCUAAAACUCAAAGGAAUUGACGGGGGCCCGCACAAGCGGCGGAGCAUGCGGAUUAAUUCGAUGCAACGCGAAGAACCUUACCAAGGCUUGACAUGGACUGGAUCGCCGCAGAAAUGUGGUUUCCCCUUUGGGGCCGGUUCACAGGUGGUGCAUGGUUGUCGUCAGCUCGUGUCGUGAGAUGUUGGGUUAAGUCCCGCAACGAGCGCAACCCUCGUUCUAUGUUGCCAGCGCGUUAUGGCGGGGACUCAUAGGAGACUGCCGGGGUCAACUCGGAGGAAGGUGGGGACGACGUCAAAUCAUCAUGCCCCUUAUGUCUUGGGCUUCACGCAUGCUACAAUGGCCGGUACAAAGGGUUGCGAUACUGUGAGGUGGAGCUAAUCCCAAAAAGCCGGUCUCAGUUCGGAUUGGGGUCUGCAACUCGACCCCAUGAAGUCGGAGUCGCUAGUAAUCGCAGAUCAGCAACGCUGCGGUGAAUACGUUCCCGGGCCUUGUACACACCGCCCGUCAAGUCACGAAAGUUGGUAACACCCGAAGCCGGUGGCCUAACCCCUUGUGGGAGGGAGCU